CUCUGCCUGUCGGUCGGCCUCCCGCUUCCAUUGCCAAUUUGCCCACCUCUCUUCUACAACAAGCUAGCCAUACCAAAUGAUUAAAAAAAAAAAAAAAAAAAAAAUUGCAUUAGCAAAUGAUUAGAAUAAUUGCGACAGCAAAGCUGUCAAUGUCAGUCAGACUGAUCUUUUAUGAUUUCCACCACCCAAAUUGUGUAGGCCCCUGGCCCCUGGCCCCAGCCCCAACGAACGAAGAGCCUUGUAGAAGGAAAGGACCAGCUGUCCCUGUCUUCUAUCACAAUGACGAUUGCGUCCCCGGCAUCUACUGAACCUGCACUUGGAGAAUGUGUUGUCAUCAAGACGUCCUAACGCGAGGACUUCCAGAGAGCUUUGUCAGCAACCUGUCCUGGUGUCUUUGUUACUACAUUGUCGAGACACAAGGAACCCUAAAGGCAUCUUGACGGGGCUACUAAUGUGUCAUGAUGCUGCUGCGUAAUUUGCAUGAGUUCGAAGGUUUUCCAACGUGCAUAUUAGGGUUUUCAUCAUUUUUUUUUAUAAGAAUUACUAAGCACAGGGUUUUCUUUGUAGUAGCAGUUUGAUAUUGAAUGCUUAGCCUUUAUGUGUCAUUGUGUGACAAGAGAGUUUUUUUUAGUGAGAUUUGCAUUAUAAUCUCUUGGAGUGUUUUUUAUUCAAACAACACCGUCAAUCAACAACAACCUUAGUCUAAUGGGAGUUUCGGUUUAAGGAGAUCAAAUAAAAGAAUAUCCAGAGGUUUUGGGAAAACUAUUGUGGUAGGCCACGUGUUC